rnacentral:tRNA from 1 species
UCCCUGGUGGCUCAGACAGUAAAGAAUCUGCCUGCAAUGCAGAAGACCUGGGUUCAUUCCCUGGCUUGGGAA